rnacentral:rRNA from 1 species
AGAGCGAACGCUGGCGGCAGGCCUAACACAUGCAAGUCGAGCGCCCGUAGCAAUACGGGAGCGGCAGACGGGAGAGUAACACGUGGGAACGUACCCUUCAGUUCGGAAUAACCCAGGGAAACUUGGACUAAUACCGAAUACGUCCGUAAGGAGAAAGAUUUAUCGCUGAAGGAUCGGCCCGCGUCUGAUUAGCUUGUUGGUGAGGUAACGGCUCACCAAGGCGACGAUCAGUAGCUGGUCUGAGAGGAUGAUCAGCCUCACUGGGACUGAGACACGGCCCAGACUCCUACGGGAGGCAGCAGUGGGGAAUAUUGGACAAUGGGCGCAAGCCUGAUCCAGCCAUGCCGCGUGGAUGAUGAAGGCCCUAGGGUUGUAAAGUCCUUUCGACGGGGAAGAUAAUGACGGUACCCGUAGAAGAACGCCCGGCUAACUUCGUGCCAGCAGCCGC